CGCGACCCCAGGUCAAGCGGGGCUACCCGCUGAGUUUAAGCAUAUCAAUAAGUGG
rnacentral:rRNA from 1 species